CAGCCGCCGCGGGAAUACGGAGGGAGCUAGCGUUGUUCGGAAUCACUGGGCGUAAAGCGCACGUAGGCGGCUAUUCAAGUCAGGGGUGAAAGCCCGGGGCUCAACCCCGGAACUGCCUUUGAAACUAGAUAGCUUGAAUCUUGGAGAGGCGAGUGGAAUUCCAAGUGUAGAGGUGAAAUUCGUAGAUAUUCGGAAGAACACCAGUGGCGAAGGCGACUCGCUGGACAAGUAUUGACGCUGAGGUGCGAAAGCGUGGGGAGCAAACAGGAUUAGAUACCCCCGUAGUCCCUGUCUCUUAUAC
rnacentral:rRNA from 1 species